UCAAGUGAUUCUCGAGUUAAGAAAUAAAGUUGGUUUACAUAUUCACACACAUGAAGCAGAUAAACUGCACGCGUGUUUUUAAAAGAGCGCAGUGACUGUCACGGUUUUGAGGCAGGGAUCAGGAAAGCAGCCCACCCGUAGAGCGGGACAGGACGGAGAUGAGGGAACAACUUGUUCAGACGGUCACUGCCCAAACUCGCUUAUAACCAACAGCAAUCUACCUUUCUCCCGUUCUGUCCAUAACCGCCAACCUGUGCAUUGAGGAUUCAGUAUACCAGGAAUUUUGGCUACACUCCCCAGUGAUGUUUGGCAGCGUCAAAGCGUCAUUCAGAAGAUUCUACUAAAGUAAAACUAGAAGAUUAUAUGGAACUUUGCAGCUAGCAUUUACAGGUCUUGCACAUUAUUUCCGGAAUAGGGAACACAAUCGAGGGAAAAGGAGAUUAAGCGGUUUUAAAAAAGUGCAAACUGCAAACAGGAACAAUGAACAAAAGGCCACAAAUAAUAAUGUCAUCUCUGCUUCUUGCAGUAUUUUCGUUCUGUCUCAGUGAUCAAAGAUGAACAUGACCAGAAGUGAGUUUAAGGAGUUUAAGAGUGUUGUGGUGACUCCUACGACCGCUGGGCAUCAGAGUGGCACAGAAGCCCACGUCAACCCUACGACAACUGCUCACCUGAACUAAAGACCCACUCCCUGCCAUGGACAGGACCAAUGUCAACUACAAAAUCCCCUGCAGUGACUGUGAGAAACAUUACAUCGGACAAACAGGAAGGAAACUAACAAGAGUACAACUGGCUACAAAAAGACACGACCAGUACUCACUCAUCUCAAUCCACAUGGACAAGGAGAACCACCAUUUUGACUGGGACAACACCAAAAUCCUGGGUCAAGCUAGGCAGAGACAGGCACGAGAAUUCCUAGAAGCCUGGCACUCCACGAAGCGUGCUAUUAAUAAACAUAUUGAACUCGACCCCAUAUACAUUCCACUACGAAGAAAAACCGGAAGUGAGGCAAUCCAUCUCAACGGACCCCAGAGUUUAAAAACCAGGCGGGAAAACACACCGACGCUUCGUCGGAGGCUGCACGGAGGAUGUUACCCAGCAUGGUAAUGAAAUGUCUGCAAAACAAGAAACCAGCUCGGCAAGCCAACCAACCUCAACACCCACAAUCCGAGCUACAAAUCUACUCCAAAACCUUAUCUUGGAAUCGUACAGCACAUAAGGUGACAGCUCAACCCACUAUGCCUGGGAUGGAUCUUUAGAAGAGUCAUCCAAUCAGUCAUUUUCCUCUGUAAUAUUUUCCUCUAGUAUUUAUCCAUUCCUCAAUUGUGACUAUUCAAACUGUUUCCACCAUCGUUUCAGGUAGUAUUUUCCAGAUCAAAAAUCCUCUUAAAUCUAUGUCCUUUGAUCAUCAUCUAUUUUGGCAUUGAAGAGUUUCUCUUUAUUUAGCAAUUCAUGAUUUUGAACAUCAUUACCAAGUUAAGGUGCUCUUCUCAAAGACAGCAGCCUAUGAAUUUAACCAUUUUACAUUGUGAUUUUAAAAUGCCUGCUUUUGGUCAUUAUCCAGUCCUGCUAGAAAGUACAGCAGACAUAAAAGAGGAAAAUAAGAUCACUUUUAACUAACAGCCAACAUUCACUGACUCCCCUCAUACAUAAAGAAUAACAGCUUAGAUGCAAAAACAGUAGCCAUGGAACCAUAACCAGCAUGAUCAGUUAUUGACCCUGGAAGAAGUACAGUGGAACAGGAUUUCAAGCAACUACUUUUUUCCAGGUUUAGCAUCAGCAUUAUUUAUAUAAAAAGGGAAGACACACAAUUUCAUAUUUUCUAUGCAUAAGACCCGCGUCCUCAAGAAUUUCCUCGGUAACACUUUGCUGAUCCAUGCAGGGAGGGGGAAUUUAUUUGCACCAAAGAAUGACAAACAAAUAGAAAAAAAAAAGUUACAUUUUCAACAUAUUUUGUAAUCCACUUACCAGAAUCCAUGUCAGUUCCAGCUCUAAAGUUCAGACAUUCAUGUAUGACAAGAUUAAGUUGCAUAUUUGAACUUCCAGAAAGAAUUUCAUUGCAGACUUAAUGAUUUUUUUUAAAACUCUUUUCAUCAGACACUGGUAUCACUGCCAAGACCAGCAUUUAUUACCCAUCUGUAAUUGCCAUGGAGAAAGUGAUGAUGAGCUGCCUCCUUGAAUCUUUGCAGUCUAGGUGAUUGUUUGCAGUGGUGUUUUGUGGGGAAAUGAAGGAGUUUGACCCAACAAUGAAGAAGAAAUUAAAGCACAUAAUAUUAAGCAGCAUGAUACAGCUUGGAUAGGAAGUUGGUUAAAGUAACAAAAAAAGGAAAUAAUGGUUAAUGGAUCUUUUUCGAUAGGAGUGAUACAAACAUUAGUUUUCUCUUGGUUUUUACAUCUUAAUGAUCUGGACUUAGGUGGCAGGGCAUAGUUUCAAAAUUUUCUGCCAAUACAGAAAAAUGAUGCAUUGUUAACUGAAGUGGCUUCAGAGGUCCAUAGACAAGUUAAUAGAUUCCCAAACAAAACUGACACAUUUUAUUGCUGAGAAUGUGUCGUAUGUCACUAAAAUGAUAGGAGAAGCACAGACUGGUUCAAGAAUACACGUUUUUCAGAAGUUCAUCCAUUUGUUUAAAAAAAAGCAUGCAAAUGCUAAGUUUGUAAAUGAUGAUUAUAGAUUACUAAAACAAUGGUCCAACAGUGAACCCAUGAAGCUCAUUACUAAGGCCAGAAAAAUCACCCCACCCCCAUUCCAGGUUACAUGUGCUUUAUCAUAUUACCUUAGCUACACUGAGAUCUUCAAAUUUGGUUUCUCCCAUUAUUUCUUUAGCACCUUGCUUUGUUUCAAUAUCUAAAACAUUUCAUUGUCUAAGCCUCUUAUUUUAAAAUCAUUGUCUACUCACUUCCAAGUUACUACAGAUAUGAAUGGAAACGUCCAUGACCAUUGCCACCUCCAUAUGAAGCCAACCACAGAAUUUUACAGCAUAGACACAAGGCAUGUAGCCCAUCACUCUUAUUUUGAACUUUAAGAUCCAAACAAACCUUUCCCUCGCCUUUACUUAACUUCAUCCCAUCAAUCCCCUUUAUUCUUUCUACCCUCAUGUUUAUAUCUAGAUCCCCUUCAAUGUAUCUACUUGCCUCAUCUAUUGCACCUGGCAGGAAAUUGCACACUCUCUGAAUGAAGUUUCUUGUGUUGUCCACAAAGUUAAACCCCAUAGAAUAAAAGGGACAAUAACAAUAAGAAUGCAAUGUUGGCUCACUGACAGUGUUAGUAAAUAAUUGUUUCUCAGACUGAGGUCAGUAUUUGGACUACUCUUAAUCUAUAUUAAUUAUCUUGACAUAGGUGUAGCGCAGGUCACAAUUACAAAAGUUACAAAUGACCCAAAGCCAGAAGAACUGUGGUAGACAGCAAGAAGCUGUAGAUAGUGAAAUGCUCCCAUUCAAGGCAUUACAAUUUAAUGCAAGGAAAUGUGAAAUGAUGGUGGCAGAAUGAGAAAAGGCAAAUAAAACAUACGAUUCUUAAGGGGGUGCAAAAUGAUAAACACUGGGAUUAUAUGUGUACAAAUCACUGAGGGUGACAAAGUUUCUGAAAGCAGUUAAAGCAUCCAGAAUCCUGAGAUUUAGUGGUAUACAGUACAAAAAGAAGGAAGUUGUGGUGAACCUUUAUAGAAAACUGGUUCAGGCUUAACUGAAGUAGUGUUCAGUUCUGGCCAUUACAUCAUGAAAGAUCCAAAGACAUUGGAAAGAAUGCAGAAAAUAAAUAAGAAGAAGGGUGCUGAGAAUGAGAGACUUCAGGUAUGUAGAGUGAUUGUGGAAGCCAGAAUGGUUCUUCUUAGAUAAAAGUAAAAUAUUGUGGAUGCUGGGAAUGUGAGACAAACACAGAAAAUGCUGGAGAAGUUCUGUAGGUCUGGUAUAAUUUGUGAAGAAAGAAACAAUAUUAAUGUUUUGAGUCCAGUAUGACUUCUUCAGACUGAAAAUAAGUUCUUUAAAUUUUUAACAGAGGCAAAGGAAGAACAAGAGAGCAGAUGGUGUAGAAGCCCAAUGCAAAAGACAAAAUUGUUGUUAAUAGUGAAAAAAAGAUGUUAAAUGUGUGUAAAUUAAGGUGUGAAAGGGAGAGUAUUAAUCCACUCUACUAAAUGCAAAGUAGACAGGACACAAACAUGACACAGUUGUGUGUGUGUGUGUGUGUGUGUGUGUGUGAUGGGUGGUGAGGGUGGAGAAUGUAAGAAAAAGAACAGGCAUGCUACAGUUUCUGAAGUUAUUGCAUUCAAUAUUGAGGCUGCAAAGCUGUAAAGAAUCUAAGAGAAAAUGAGGUCCUUUUACUCAAACUUGCAUUGUGCUUCAUUGUAACAGCAUAGCAAGCCCAGAACUGAAAUUUUAGCAUCAGAACACGAUGGUUUAUUGAAAUGACAAGCAACUGGGGGGUCAGGGUCAUUCCUACAAACACAUUGGAGGCAUUCUGCAAAGCGAUCACACAGUGUGCAUUUGGUGGCAGGGUGGCUCAGUGGUUAGCACUGCUGCCUCACAGCGCCAGGGACCCAGGUUCAA